UAGGUCUAAGUGAUCCUGUGGAUCCUGUUGGUCAGGCCACAGCUUAACGGAUAAAAGCUACCCCGGGGAUAACAGGCUGAUCGCUUCCAAGCGUCCAUAGCGACGAGGCGGUUUGGCACCUUAUAUGAAUUUCAUAUCGGGGCGCCAGUAUUUCAAGUAAUUGAGAUAUUAGGUCUGUGUUUCAGGGAAAGAUUAGAUAGGUCUUUUUGUGAAAGAAAAAUACUAGUCCAAAUCGGUGGACACCAAUAUUUCGAACAGAUGUUGGUCAAUACCGAGAGAGUUCGUUAGUAAAAUAACGAGCCUUGUAUCGACUGUUCCGAAGGGAUUCGGAACGAUGGUUCAAAUGUUCUACACGAACCAUAAUACGGCUAGCUCCACUACAAAAGAGUAGGGGAUGAAGGUAUAGUCAAGCCUCUUGGUAACAAGAGGGGGUAUUCCGAUUUAAUCGGAAUGCGAUGUCGGCUCAUCUUAGCGCGGGGGUGAAGAAGCUCCCAAGCGUCGGGCUGUUCGCCCGUUAAAAAGGUACGCGAGCUGGGUUCAGAACGUCGUAAGACAGUUCGGUCUCUAUCCAGGACAACCGAUUUGAGAUUUGAGAGGAGUCGUCCCUAGUACGAGAGGACUGGGAUGAAGAAGUCCCUGGUGUGCCGGUUGUGCAAAAAGCGCAGCGCCGGAUAGCUAUACUUCUACGGGAUAACCGCUGAAAGCAUCUAAGUGGGAAGCCCACCUCAAGAUAAGAUCUCUUAAACCCCUAGAAAACCACUAGGUUGAUAGGCGGCAGGUGUAAGUACUGUAAAGUAUUCAGCUUAGCCGUACUAAUAGGUUAUAUAGCGUAGAUUU
rfam:Candidatus Levybacteria bacterium RIFCSPHIGHO2_01_FTLL_40_10 rifcsphigho2_01_scaffold_9240, whole genome shotgun sequence.